CGCUGGCUGGCUGGCCUCGGGUGGAAUCUGAUGUGUGUCUGCGCACUGACCGUCAUUCUCACCCUCUCCCUCCAGGCUGAGAACACUUUCAAUUCACUUCUCACAGUUUUAACUUUCUGUCAGUGUCAGGAAAGAUAGCAAAGCUUGUAAAUACUGUAAUAUAUUUAUUGGUAUUUGGAGGGCAUUCAUUCAGUGGACAAUGAGAAUUAACUCUCCCAACACAAGUAGAACUUAAGUACAUCAACUUAAUAGUCUCACUAGAUUUCAAGUCUUAAGCCUUUCAAAUUAAACCAGAAAGUUGUCAUGUAGGAGUUUUUAAAAUGAUCUUACAUUUGAUGAGAUCCCAUGAUCUCAUAAACUCACAUCAUGGUCAGCACCAUGAACUCAUGCCAUGAAUUUUUUAAGACUCUUAUUUUUCUAACUGUAUUAAUAAAUGUCAGACUGGAUUUUAGGUGUCACAUAGGAAAGUUUUAAAUUAUAUUGCUAUUUGCUAGAGCAAAACAGCAGACAAUUUUGUACGUGCAGAACUGUUGUAGGGCCAUGGAGAAAUGUGUACACGUUGACCUGGCUUCUUGCGUGUAUAAAGUCCAGGCACUGCUGGCAUUCAGCGUAACAUGACGCUACCAAACAUUUUCCAUUAAAGUCUUUUAAAAUUUAUUGAGGAGAAAAUAAAUGACUUUCCAUCAUACGUUACGUGUGGAGUUCCUAUUAUAAAAUCGUGCUAUCUUUUGGUGACUAGCUGUUUGAAACCACCUAGUUUGGAAACACAAGAUACAUUUAUGUGACAUCAGCAGUUUACGAUCAGCUUGAGAAAUACAACCUGACCACACUGAGAACAUAAAUGAAAAUGAGCUCCCACUGUAACUGCUGUGUCAUCAAGCAGCCUGCUUCCUUUGUCACCUUGCAGGGUAGGAAACUAAAAUCUACAAAUUGUCUCCAUAGUUGUACAAUAUUUAGAAAGCAUUUUUUUUUCCUAAAUAGAAUUCCUUAUGCUAUGUGUUCUUAUAAUGUCCCAUGAAACAAAAUUUCUUGUUGUAGCUCUUAAAGGCUUGAGUUUAAACCCAGAAUGAAUUUAGGAAGGUUCUGUCUUUAUGUUAAUUAGAGAGCAUCCUUGGCGUUUUACGUGCCUUAAACCUUAGGUGAUACUGAGUGUGAUAUUAAUCUAUUACUUAUUUGCCAGAUGUAUUUUAAGCUCUUCUUGCAGUAGGUUCCUGUGACAGGUGUGUGACAAGACCUCAGCUCGUAAUCCACAUGCUCGCUGACUGAGUCCAGGGCACAGCCCUUGCCUUGCUGCUCCUAGGUUCUGGAGACAUCGGGACCAGGAAGGGAAGCUCUGGGCCUCCCUUAUUCAACUGCGCCUUUCCUUCUCCUUUCCGGCCCCUGGUGAGGAGAAGCUGUAGAGUUGCAAAUCAUUAGAACUCCAUAAGGAGAAUUGU
rnacentral:lncRNA from 1 species